GGAAGUAAAAAUUCUCUGCGUCAACCCCUUUACUUUCCCAGACUCUUUUGUAUAGAAAUAUUCCGUCAUGUUCGAGACCUGCAUGAAGAACUCACUCGAAGACACUCGAUGAGAGGUAUUUCCCGUACUCGUUUGACACACAUACUAUGUGUAUAGACUAUUAUAGACGUUUACAAAAACCCGCAAUAGUCCUGUAGAAUUUAUACUAAACGUAAAGGUCGCAUUAUGUACGAUUGAACGCGUUUUAUUAAAUUCGGUGACACCAAACA